CUUCAAAUUUGGCUUGCCAGCUUCCCUCUUUCCUUCUCAACUUUACUCUUUACUCUUACUUUCUCAGAUAUGGUUCCAUUUUAUCUCAUCCUUUCUAUUUUCAUUUUUUUUUUCAGAUUUUAUCCAUUUCUAGCUUAAUCUACUUUUGUUUUUGCUCUGUUAAUCGUUGUUUUUGGUUUUUAGAUUUUUGAAACCCACAUUUGCUUCGAUCCCAAGGCCAUUGAUGUUGGUUAUAGCUUCAUUUUGGUAAGUUUCUUUUGGUUUUUAAUUUACUUCAAGUUUUGUUUCAUUUAUUCUAAUUUUUAAAUCUAUUGAUUUUUGUUUUUUUCUUCUCUGUUGAUACCAUUUUUUUAUUGCAUUUAAAUUGAUAAAAUAGUUCCUCUACAAAUAAUAUAUCCUUGCAAAUCUCCAUCCCAUGAUUCUUCAUCCUCAAAACAUAAAUGUAAAUUGGAUGAAGCUAGAUUCACCUAAAUCUAAGAAAAUCUCUAAAAAAUCUAAGAAAGUUUAUGCCCCUAGUUGUAAGGUACUAUAUAUAUUUUUUUUGGGAUGCAUUUGCUAUUGUCAUUCCAUACUUGUGGGAUCAAACUGGUUUUUCUUUGAGUUGAUCUUAUACAUAUUUGAAUCUUGAGGCAUACCCUGUUCCUAAGCGCUUCUUGAAGUUUGUGUUGCAAGCGACAUCCUCGGGCAACAGUACAAGUAUUGUUGCUUUGCAAAGCUUGAUUGCUGACAUCCAUGGAGAUUUUUCGUUGCUCUGAGGUUCUUUUACAUAGGUGAUCAGCAAAGAAGAAGCUCUUUAUUCACUUCCAUUCUGUAUUUUUCUAAAAAAAAAAGGUAUGGUAUUGUAUUUUGGUUGAAUUUCUAUUGAUUUUUCCCUGAUUGGUGGUCAACGAUUAUGGUGAUUUUCUGUUUUUGGCUUUAGCAAUUUUUAAUUUUUUAUUUGUGGUUGUUGUCGGUGAAUGGGUCUCAUAGAAGAAGUUGUCGGUGAAUGAGUCUCAUAGAUGAUUUUUGAGCUUUGUAGGUUGGUUUUUCGUUGAUUUUCCAUAGCUUUGAUGGUCAGUUGUUUAACGCCUAAAUCGUGACAACCACUAAGCGAUAGUUGUAGUAAAAUCGGGCAGUCGAUCCACAAAGAGGUAGCCUAAAACUAAAAGAUUAGUAGAAAAUAACACUAAAAGUUAGUAUAAAUGAAAAUGAAAAGGGAUUUGAGAUUUUGGUGUGGUUUUUUUGAUGAAAUGAUAAAAUGAGAUAAGUAAAAUGAAAGUAAGGUGUAAUCAAGAGUUUGAGCAAUAGAAAUGUUUCAAGAAUCAUC